CGUACGCUGGCGGCACGCCUAACACAUGCAAGUCGAACGCAGUAGCAAUACUGAGUGGCAGACGGGUGAGUAACAUGUGGGAAUCUGCCUUGUGGUUCAGGACAACAUUGGGAAACCGAUGCUAAUACUGGAUAAGCCCUUACGGGGAAAGUUUUAAUGCCAUAAGAUGAGCCCGCAUUUGAUUAGUUAGUUGGUGAGGUAAUGGCUCACCAAGACAAUGAUCAAUAGCUGAUCUGAGAGGAUGAUCAGCCACACUGGGACUGAGACACGGCCCAGACUCCUACGGGAGGCAGCAGUGGGGAAUCUUGCACAAUGGAGGAAACUCUGAUGCAGCGAUGCCGCGUGAGUGAAGAAGGCCUUUGGGUUGUAAAGCUCUUUUGUAGGGGAAGAUAAUGACUGUACCCUAAGAAUAAGGUCCGGCUAACUUCGUGCCAGCAG
rnacentral:rRNA from 1 species